AACGGCGAAGUGAAGCGGCAACAGCUCAAAUUUGAAAUCUGGCCCCCAGGCCCGAAGUUGUAAUUUGUAGAGGAUGCUUCUGGCGACGCGCCUUCCGAGUUCCCUGGAACGGGACGCCAAAGAGGGUGAGAGCCCCGUCCGGUCGUGCGCCUAGCCUCUGUGAAGCUCCUUCGACGAGUCGAGUAGUUUGGGAAUGCUGCUCUAAAUGGGAGGUAUACGUCUUCUAAAGCUAAAUACCGGCCAGAGACCGAUAGCGCACAAGUAGAGUGAUCGAAAGAUGAAAAGCACUUUGAAAAGAGGGUUAAAUAGUACGUGAAAUUGCUGAAAGGGAAGCGCUUAUGACCAGACUUGGGCUUGGUGAAUCAUCCGGCGUUCUCGCCGGUGCACUUUGCCGGUCCAGGCCAGCAUCAGUUCGUCCCGGGGGAUAAAGGCUUCGGGAACGUAGCUCUUUCGGGAGUGUUAUAGACCGUUGCGUAAUACCCUGGGGUGGACUGAGGUACGCGUUCUGCAAGGAUGCUGGCGUAAUGGUCAUCAGUGACCCGUCUUGAAACACGGACCAAGGAGUCGUCUUCGUAUGCGAGUGUUCGGGUGUCAAACCCCUACGCGUAAUGAAAGUGAACGUAGGAGAGAGCUUCGGCGCAUCUCCGACCGAUCCUGAUGUUCUCGGAUGGAUUUGAGUAAGAGCAUACGGGGCCGGACCCGAAAGAAGGUGAACUAUGCCUGUAUAGGGUGAAGCCAGAGGAAACUCUGGUGGAGGCUCGCAGCGGUUCUGACGUGCAAAUCGAUCGUCAAAUAU
rnacentral:rRNA from 1 species